GCAAGCAAUGCAGGUGUAGAAGCACGGUUGAAAUGUUUACAAAUUAGAUGCGCUGAAAUGAAAGCAACUUUCGAAAAUGAACACUGAUUAUAAUCAUAUUAUGUUUGAUCUCGCAAACAAUGUAAAGUAUGUUUAGAUAGGUGUAAUCUAGAGCCGGUCGUUUUGAUUUUUAAUCCGAGGGUAUCCUGCUAUUGACACCCUAGUUGCAAGAGAAGGUGACAACAUCAGUCAUUAAUGAGGCAGUCUAGGCAAUGCAGAGGUGCGUUCAGUUCAAUGGUUUGUACUGAAUGACACGUUUCCCCAAAACGUUCUUGUACAUUCUUGAACAGACUUUGAGGUACGUUUUCUCCCGUUUGGUGGGUGUGGUGAGGUGUGGCUUGAAGCAAUGCAAGUGACGUAUUUAAAGGGCAGUUGCCAUGCUGACAGUGUUCCCCUACCCACAACCCAACGCCUCCCUGUUUUUCAACAGGUCAUUAAGUACAGCACCAUUUCUGUUCAAUUUAACGUUUGAGAAUGUAAAAACGUACUGGUCACAUUUCAACAUUUCAACUGUCCAGAACAUAAAAACAUUCCGUUUGAUUGAACCUUUGCUACGUUGCAGAACAAUUUGUACUGAACGACACAUUUCCCCAAAACGUUCUUGAACAGACUUUGAGGAAUGUUUGCUUACGUUUGGUGGGCGUGGCGCGGUGUGGCUUGAAGCAAUGCAAGUGACGUAUUUAAAGGGCAGUGGCCAUGCUGACAGCAUUCCCCAACCUACAACCAACCCACCUUGUUUUUCAACUGGUUGUUCAGCACAGCACCAUUUCCGUUCAAUUCAACGUUACAGAACGUAAAAACGUACAGAAUGCAGCCCUGAUGAGUGCAGGUAGGGUAGACAGAGCAGGUGAGUGCAGGUAGGAUAGACAGCCUUGAUGAGUGCAGGUAGGGUAGACAGCCCUGGUGAGUGCAGGUAGGGUAGACAGCCCUGAUGAGUGCAGGUAGGAUAGACAGCCCUGAUGAGUGCAGGUAGGGUAGACAGAGCAGGUGAUUGCAG